UGGGGAAUAUUGGACAAUGGGCGAAAGCCUGAUCCAGCAAUGCCGCGUGAGUGAUGAAGGCCUUAGGGUUGUAAAGCUCUUUUACCCGGGAUGAUAAUGACAGUACCGGGAGAAUAAGCUCCGGCUAACUCCGUGCCAGCAGCCGCGGUAAUACGGAGGGAGCUAGCGUUAUUCGGAAUUACUGGGCGUAAAGCGCACGUAGGCGGCUUUGUAAGUUAGAGGUGAAAGCCUGGAGCUCAACUCCAGAAUUGCCUUUAAGACUGCAUCGCUUGAAUCCAGGAGAGGUGAGUGGAAUUCCGAGUGUAGAGGUGAUAUUCGUAGAUAUUCGGAAGAACACCAGUGGCGAAGGCGGCUCACUGGACUGGUAUUGACGCUGAGGUGCGAAAGCGUGGGAGCAAACAGGAUAGAUACCCUGGUAGUCCACGCCGUAAACGAUGAUAACUAGCUGUCGGGGCUCUUAGAGCUUCGGUGGCGCAGCUAACG
rnacentral:rRNA from 1 species